GUGACAGACCCCAUGUGAGGAAGGCCAAGGGCAUUUUGUAGUUCAGGCGAUGGAGGCACCUUGAAUAUUUUCUCAAUUUUGCUUUAUAAACAGCAAGUGCCCUAAGUACCAGUUGAUCUAGCUUUCGAUCAGCCAAAGAGACCACAUUAAUCAUAUCCUCUCCCUCCUCCCUCCCCUUACCACCCAAAUCACUGUCUUACAACUGAUUCUGGCCAAGGAAAUUUGUUAGCAAAAUAUUUAGGACUAAACUCAGUGCAAUCUAAGAUUCUGAAGAAGCCAAGUAUUCUGUUUUGGCCCUCACCAGCUGCUGCUUGAAUUUCUCCAUCCUCCAAGACUGUCAAGAAUCUGACAGCUCUGCUAACGAAAGCUGCAGACCCUCGGUUCGGUUCCAUCGCCCUUUCUCUGGGCUGGUGUGUGAAGCUCCGGAUCUGUGACCUCACUAGAAUCAGUGUGCGCAAGAGGAUCAGCAAUGCAGGGCAAAGAUGACUGGUGAGACACACGUCUACACAAACGCAUACAGGUAUACAAAAAGCAACAAGAGUUUAAUUCUCUUUUUACAUGGCCACAGGCUCUCUUCAGUCAGGGGAACUUCAGCUGGUGCCUCUCUCUUGCAGCUAUGAGGCGACAGUGUGGUGACAUGCCUCAUACAGACUGUCCCAGUAAGCCAGGACAAGUCACCAUUAAAAUCUUGCACGAACAGCCCUGGGCACGUGGGAAUGUAGUAAGUAAGUGCUGCUCCACCAAGCUGAGAAGAAAUGGCCCUUGGCUGUCCUCGGGGCCAGUGCUAGGAACUCUGGACCAGCCGUCUGUAGUGGGGCAUGACUUCGUGCUCGGGCAAGUGGAGGGCGAAUUCCAAGGCCACUAACACCGGGAAUUCAAAGGCAAUCAGUUCUCGCCUGUUCAGCCGGAAC
rnacentral:lncRNA from 1 species